rnacentral:rRNA from 1 species
UUCUCCUACGGGACGCAGCAGGGGGGAAUAUUGCGCAAUGGACGAAAGUCUGACGCAGCGACGCCGCGUGAGGGAUGAAGGUUUUCGGAUCGUAAACCUCUGUCAGGAGGGAAGAAAGCGCAUGGCGCCAAUCAGCCAUGCGUUGACGGUACCUCCAAAGGAAGCGCCGGCUAACUCCGUGCCAGCAGCCGCGGUAAUACGGAGGGCGCGAGCGUUAAUCGGAAUUACUGGGCGUAAAGCGCGCGUAGGCUGUUGUGUAAGUUGGGGGAGAAAUCCCACGGCUCAACCGAGGUACAGCCCUUGAU